rnacentral:lncRNA from 1 species
CAGGGCCGUAACUACAUUGAGGCAAAUGAGGCAAAUGCCUCAUGUUUUAAAUUUCAAAAAAAAAAAACUAAAACUAAAGAUUGUCUUCAUAUCAAAUUGUUUUCACUGAGAGUGUCUUGCAAGAAGCAAGUUCUCUUCACUCUCUGAUGUCGCCCCUGCAUAUUUUUUGUAAUCCAUGUUUCUAUUUUACUUUUGGUUUUCAGAGUUGAUGGUCUAUUGUUUGUACUUUUGUUCAUUAUUGUCCUACUUAAUGACUAGUCUGAGUUUUGAUUUUCAUAAUUUGUAAACGUGUCACAUUGGGUAAUGUUGCAUGUCCACUGAUGUCCAGGCAUUAUGCGAAAAAAUAUUUUAAGAAUCAACGAUAGGACACAGAAAAAAGUGGUCGUUUCUGGAUGGAGAAUUGAACUUGAUAUCAAAGAAUACGAAACUGCCUUUCUUGUAUAUAAAACCAUACCCAAUUUUUCUUAGUACGGAUUGCAAAAUUAGGUAUUUUCUGUAGGUGAGAUAUGCACAGAAGUGAUAGAUAUGACAUAAAAUUAGAAAAUUUAAUAUCUUAACAAAAAAAUAAAAAAAAAAAGAAUAACUGUAUCAUAUACCCAAGCGCCUGUGGAUAAAACUAGAUAGCUGACAUGGUUUAGAUUAAAGUAAGACCAC